UUUGAUCAUGGCUCAGAUUGAACGCCCGAACUCAGAAGUGAAACGAAACAGCGUCGAUGGUAGUGUGGGGUCUCCCCAUGUGAGAGUAGAACAUCGCCAGGC
rnacentral:rRNA from 1 species